AUUUAACAAAACAAAAGCAACCUGGAAUUACAGGCAGGUUUGGUUCUCUACAGUACAUAUUUACUUAAUCUCCUAGGGCUUGGGUGAGUCAGCCUGGCUCGGUCGGAGUAGGGUGACAGCCGGCCGCUCACCCUCCCCACUCUUCCGCACCAGAUGUCCAGACACCUCGGCCUUGCGAAUGCCCGUCAGGCCACACGGGACCAUCAGAGACCGCUUCCCCCGCUUCGAACCCAAACCAAGUGCCCCUUCCCUACGUGCCUCCGCCAGAGCUUCAGCCGCCCAGGUUGGGGCUGGGAAGCGGGUUGCCAAGGAAAAUACCAAGAGCCAGCUCGCAGGCGCUGGCUCCAAGCUCUACCCAGGAGCGCACACACCCUGCACUCUCCAGGGUGGUGGCAAAGAGGGGAAGUGAGGAGGGGGGACGCGGCACCUUCCUCUGGGAGGGAGGAAUGUGGGAAAUGGGUGGGUCUCCUAAGUUUCGGGGUGGGGGUGCGCGGCCCGCCAGCCCCCGAUCCUCAAGGAGCGGAUCAGCUCGGGACUUGCCAAAAAAGACAGUCCCGGCGCCCGGGAAAUUUACAAGGUAAAACCGACUAGCUCAGCGUUUGCUGGUGGCGCAGAGAGGUCGGGCGGCCGGCGACUCUCGGCGCCCCGGCGCGGCAGCAGGUGGGCGCCCCGUGCCCCCCGGGGCCCUUCUCACCUUCGGGCUCCCACCCCCUGGACUCGCACUGCCCACGUACCUUUCUGGCGCCGCGUUCUGCGAACUCGCGAGCGAGCUGGCGCCCGAUGCCUCUGCCGCCGCCGGUGAUGAGGACGUUCUCCCGAGACAGGUCCCGCAGCUUGGCGGGCAGCACCAGUCCGACGGCGGCUUUCGCCACCAGAUAGAUCAUCUGCAGAGGGAACACCACCAACGCGCCCAGCCAUUUCCACAUCAUCCUCCGCGCCGCGGAGCCGGGCAGGGCGGGGGGCAAAACUCCACGGACCGAACAGGAAUGGAAAAAAAUAAAUAAAACACCUCCAAAAAUAUAAAUAAACUGAAUGAGGGGGAGAGAGGCGUCCCACCUGGCCACUCUUGAACUCACUUCUCUCAAAUGCAAAGCACCGGGUGAGAAAAAGAAGAACGGAAAAAAAAAAAAAAAAGAUAAAUCCCCCUGGGGAGGAGAGAAAGCGCCUCAGAAGGUUGGGACGGUAAGGCGGGUGGAGGGGAAGCCAGAGGUGGGAAGUUCUAACAAGAACUUUCUUGCCCCAGCCGCCGCUUCGGCUGGGGAAUUCGCAGGUAAUGUUUACUGGCUGACAGAGGAGUUUAGGCCGGGGAAGGGGGAGGGAAAAAAAAAGGGCACCAACCACACGCGCGCACCACGCUACAGUCCCGCGGUUUCAAAGUGCAAGAUUAAAAAAAAAAAAAGCAGUUUCCAAAUUGUGGCGGCACCUCCACCCCUUCUCCAGGAAAAAAAAAAGUGGGGGAAAAGUGCAUGGAGCUCCCAAUUUCAGCCCGCGAAAGUCUCCCGUCUCAUUGCUAUUCUUGGGCUCAGGAAAUUGCUUAAACGCGCUCUGAUUGCCAGCAACGUGCAGCAGAAGUGGGGGGUCCGGGUGUCAGUUUCUUUACGUGCAGGGCUCGCUCUCUCCGGCUCCCUCCCUCUCUCUUCCAGCAGAGUCUGGGAGUUGCCGCUCGAUCCGGCUCCCUCUCUCUCCCUCGUUAGCAUUUAUUGCCUUCUUUUUGUCCUUUCCAACUUGGAGAGGGCCUGGCUACGGAGCGCGCGUGGAUCGGACGCCCGGGUCUGCACCGCCUUAUUCAUUCGCUCCCGAGGAGGCAGCGGCGCGGAGCUAGAGGGCGGCCUUUUUCCCCCCAUUUUUUUUAAUACCCCAUUAACUCUGAUUGACAGUUAAAGUUGGUCGGAGGCUUCACUCCCGUUCCUCUGAGUGGCUGCCGCUGCUUCCCCUCCCCCUGCGCUGUCGCGGGGCGCACGCGCGCGCGGGCGCGCACACGCGCUCGCUCCGACUCCAGCUCUCCCGGGGCUGGUUCCCCUUUUUGCAAGCCGGGACUUGCCGGCGGUGCCUCUGAGGACUCGCAGCGGUAACUCGAACACGCUGGAAUCGACUCCUGCGAACCAGCUCUCUCCUUGACACAUUCCUCCUUGUCCAGGACACGAUGUCUCCGAGCUAGGGCGCCUGGGGGACCAGGUAGGACCAGGAAGCCACCCCCGACCUUUGCCCAGCCGUCUUCUGUCUUCACUUGGAUGCACUUUCUAAAGCUGCUCCGAGUUUCUCAUGUUGAUGGGGAAACAGCUGGGGAGCAGGAUUUUGCUGUGAGGGGAAAGGGUGGGCAGGGUAGAGGAACCUCUGCCCCCAAGGUGCCAAUAAAAUCCCCAUAAGAUUAGGUGGGAGCAUAUUUAUUGCUCAUCUGGGCUAGAAUUACCUUGACUGACAGCAAUUUCCUUAAUAACAAAAGCCUGUAAACAAAACGUCCUUAAACCAGUGCCCCCCUGUGGAGUGCUGGCAGCAGUGUCUCUCUUUGGGUCUCCUUGGGCUGCCCUAGCUGGGCACCCACCUUGCAACGUCCUGUCUUCCCCAUGGGGAACGCCUCCCCUACUGGAGGGUAGGACCCAGCUAUUU